UAGGGAAUCUUCGGCAAUGGGCGCAAGCCUGAUGGAGCAACGCCGCGUGAGUGAAGAAGGUCUUCGGAUCGUAAAACUCUGUUGUUAGAGAAGAACAUGCAGGAGAGUAACUGUUCUUGUAUUGACGGUAUCUAACCAGAAAGCCACGGCUAACUACGUGCCUG
rnacentral:rRNA from 1 species